CCCAAGUCGCAUUCUACUGCCACCGUUUCCUUUACCCCGGGCUCAUCUCUACCAGAUAUGCUUAUCUUUUAUUAUUCUCUUCCUCCUCCUCAGUUAUCCGUACGUUUUGUUCAAUUUUUGUUUUUUCCUAUGUGCUCUUCUGAUUGGCUCCGAUUCUAUUUGCUCAACAGUCAGCGUGUUGUUUCAGUUUUUUACUUGACUCUAAUGCUAAUCAACUUGUGCUUAUAACCUUACUAAUAUAUAAUAAGAACCAGACUCAUAUCCCACACAAACAUAGGUUUAAAUCUCGCAGUCGAUGUAUGUGAGGAUUUUUUUUAUGAGCCUUCUUAAUAAAUUCUUGAAACUCAACUCACUUCAACUUUUAAUCUACAAUAAAAUGUGGUGCAGAGUCCUUGUUUGAACUUGUUCAUAAAUAUAAAAAAAUGCAGGAUUUCACGUAAUAAAUGAAUUGUUUUGUGUCCUAUAUUCUACGUGUGAAGAGAGAGAUAUUCAAAAGGUUGUGUAUUAAAAUGAGUUCUCUUGAACUCUUCCUUCCCUCCUACGUUGCUCACUUAACUGCUUGUAUUGUGUUGUGACAAUGGAAUCAGCAUUGAUAUUUCUGCGAACGGGAAGUUCGGGUUCGGUUCCUUGCAGAUUCUUUUGACUCAUGAACAUGCUGAUGCGGUCCUUGGAUUGGAUGAUAUGCUUGUUGUGCAGCCGUUUAGUCCCACUAAUGAUAUUGAUCCCACCCCCGUUUACUUAACUCUGCAUUCAAUGGACAGUGUCCCAAGGUAACAGAGUCAUGCUCAAAUGCAGAGUGAGCAGGUCAAAUAUCCAAGUGGGAGCAUAGUCAAUUGACGCAAAAUACAUCUCAUUGAUUCUAUUAAGCAAAAUAUGGUAUCACUUUUUGGUCAGUAAGUUAAAAGCAUCCAAAAGAGGUUUCCUUAUUUGGUUCAGAAAAAACAAAAAGAAGAAGCACAAGAAAUACGAAGGGUAGCUCAGUUUUGCUGAUGAUGAUUGUAAUCAGCCAUUUUUUGCAUCAGGCUCAAAAAUUGAUUCCUUUGCCCGUUAUUCACUGCAAAACUUGUCAUUGGUGGUAGGAAUGCAAUAACCCUUUUACCUUAUGAGGACUUAAGUGAUACAUUUAUGGAUGUAGGUAAUGCAUGGAGAGGAUUAUAUCUGUUUGGGAUUUCUUUUUGGUGAGAAAAAUAGGGUGGCUUAUAUAUCUGAUGUUUCAUUGAUUCCAGAUAGUACAGAGUAUAGUGCGUUUUAAAGUCAUUUCUUCCUACUCGGACAUGUGUGUUACUUCAUUAGUGUUAUUAUCUCUCACAACAUAAACUUUAUUGGGUUGGAUUGUGAAGAAAGAAUAUAGAUGAGAAAAUGGUUUUUUUGUGUUUUUAACUUAACAUAAAAUAAAAAAAUAAAAAAAAACUGGAGGGAGGGGGAGAUGGUGUUAUGAAAUUAUAAUUACACCCAGAAAUGUACAUUAUUGUCAUGUGUUUUUGUAAACAAA